UACGUAGGGUGCGAGCGUUAAUCGGAAUUACUGGGCGUAAAGCGUGCGCAGGCGGUGAUGUAAGACAGUUGUGAAAUCCCCGGGCUCAACCUGGGAACUGCAUCUGUGACUGCAUCGCUGGAGUGCGGCAGAGGGGGAUGGAAUUCCGCGUGUAGCAGUGAAAUGCGUAGAUAUCUGGAGGAACACCGGUGGCGAAGGCGGCAUCCUGGACCAACACUGACGCUGAGGAGCGAAAGCGUGGGGAGCGAACAGG
rnacentral:rRNA from 1 species